AGGAGCCGUAUGAGGGGAGACUUUCACGUACGGUUCUGUGAGAAGUUUGGGCUGAAAUGCCCAGACCUACUCGAC
rfam:Bacteroides caecimuris strain I48, complete genome.